rnacentral:rRNA from 1 species
UACGGAGGGAGCUAGCGUUAUUCGGAAUUACUGGGCGUAAAGCGCACGUAGGCGGCUUUGUAAGUAAGAGGUGAAAGCCUGGAGCUCAACUCCAGAACUGCCUUUUAGACUGCAUCGCUUGAAUCCAGGAGAGGUGAGUGGAAUUCCGAGUGUAGAGGUGAAAUUCGUAGAUAUCGGGAGGAACACCAGUGGCGAAGGCGACUUCCUGGCCUGUUCUUGACGCUGAGGCGCGAAAGCUAGGGUAGCAAACGGG